UGGGGAAUAUUGCACAAUGGGCGCAAGCCUGAUGCAGCGACGCCGCGUGGGGGAUGACGGCCUUCGGGUUGUAAACUCCUUUCGCUAGGGACGAAGCUUUUUGUGACGGUACCUAGAUAAGAAGCACCGGCUAACCACGUGCCAGCAGCCGCGGUAAUACGUAGGGUGCGAGCGUUGUCCGGAAUUACUGGGCGUAAAGGGCUCGUAGGUGGUUUGUCGCGUCGUCUGUGAAAUUCCGGGGCUUAACUCCGGGCGUGCAGGCGAUACGGGCAUAACUUGAGUACUGUAGGGGUAACUGGAAUUCCUGGUGUAGCGGUGAAAUGCGCAGAUAUCAGGAGGAACACCGAUGGCGAAGGCAGGUUACUGGGCAGUUACUGACGCUGAGGAGCGAAAGCAUGGGUAGCGAACAGG
rnacentral:rRNA from 1 species